GGAAUAUUGGGCAAUGGAGGCAACUCUGACCCAGCCAUCCCGCGUGAAGGAUGAAGGAUCUCUGGUUCGUAAACUUCUUUUAUUGGGGAAGAAAAAGCCCGAUUUAUCGGGAACUGACGGUACCCAAUGAAUAAGCACCGGCUAACUCCGUGCCAGCAGCCGCGGUAAUACGGAGGGUGCAAGCGUUAUCCGGAUUCACUGGGUUUAAAGGGUGCGUAGGCGGCCUGAUAAGUCAGUGGUGAAAGCCCGCAGCUCAACUGCGGAAUUGCCAUUGAAACUGCCAGGCUUGAAUCCGGCUGAAGUGGGCGGAAUAUAUCAUGUAGCGGUGAAAUGCUUAGAUAUGAUGUAGAACACCGAUUGCGAAGGCAGCUCACUAAGCCGACAUUGACGCUGAGGCACGAAAGCGUGGGGAGCGAACAGGA
rnacentral:misc_RNA from 1 species